UGUUCACAUUGCCAGCUACUGCACUUACCCGUUCUUUGGAUUAAUCAGUCUAUCUUGUGUUUGUUUUCACAUGUGAUAGAUAGAUUAAUUAGUUUUUUGUUGUUGCAGAACAGUUGGAUUAUUGUUAUAUUUGAUAUUGAUGUUGUCUCAUCUUUUUGGAGUCAGGUACAUCCAACAGAAAAUGACCCAAAUGAUCCAUCACAGUCAAAUCGGUUCAAUGUGGUUAUUGAGAUAAUCGAGCGCCUUUACAUGGGCAGGCAUAGUAGUCACGAAGAAGAUCUGGGUGAUGUGCCUGAUGAUAAUCAGUAUGCCACUGAAGAUUCUUUCAUUGAUGAUGCUGAAUUGGUU
rnacentral:rRNA from 1 species